UACGUAGGGUGCAAGCGUUGUCCGGAAUUAUUGGGCGUAAAGAGCUCGUAGGCGGUUUGUCGCGUCGGGAGUGAAAUCCACUGGCUUAACUGGUGGCUUGCGGUCGAUACGGGCAGGCUCGAGUUCGGUAGGGGAGACUGGAAUUCCUGGUGUAGCGGUGAAAUGCGCAGAUAUCAGGAGGAACACCGGUGGCGAAGGCGGGUCUCUGGGCCGAUACUGACGCUGAGGAGCGAAAGCGUGGGGAGCGAACAGG
rnacentral:rRNA from 1 species